AUUGAACGCUGGCGGCAUGCCUUACACAUGCAAGUCGAACGGUAACAGGUCUUCGGAUGCUGACGAGUGGCGCACGGGUGAGUAUUACAUCGGAACGUGCCCAGACGUGGGGGAUAACGAGGCGAAAGCUUUGCUAAUACCGCAUACGAUCUAAGGAUGAAAGCAGGGGACCGCAAGGCCUUGCGCGUUUGGAGCGGCCGAUGGCAGAUUAGGUAGUUGGUGGGAUAAAAGCUUACCAAGCCGACGAUCUGUAGCUGGUCUGAGAGGACGACCAGCCACACUGGGACUGAGACACGGCCCAGACUCCUACGGGAGGCAGCAGUGGGGAAUUUUGGACAAUGGGCGAAAGCCUGAUCCAGCAAUGCCGCGUGCAGGAUGAAGGCCUUCGGGUUGUAAACUGCUUUUGUACGGAACGAAAAGGCUCUGGCUAAUACCUGGGGCACAUGACGGUACCGUAAGAAUAAGCACCGGCUAACUACGUG
rnacentral:rRNA from 1 species